AGAUUGAACGCUGGCGGCAGGCUUAACACAUGCAAGUCGAGCGGUAACAGAAAGUAGCUUGCUACUUUGCUGACGAGCGGCGGACGGGUGAGUAAUGCUUGGGAAUAUGCCUUAUGGUGGGGGACAACAGUUGGAAACGACUGCUAAUACCGCAUAACGUCUACGGACCAAAGGGGGGGAUCUUCGGACCUCUCGCCAUUUGAUUAGCCCAAGUGAGAUUAGCUAGUUGGUGAGGUAAAGGCUCACCAAGGCGACGAUCUCUAGCUGGUUUGAGAGGAUGAUCAGCCACACUGGGACUGAGACACGGCCCAGACUCCUACGGGAGGCAGCAGUGGGGAAUAUUGCACAAUGGGCGAAAGCCUGAUGCAGCCAUGCCGCGUGUGUGAAGAAGGCCUUCGGGUUGUAAAGCGCUUUCAGUUGUGAGGAAAGGGGUGUAGUUAAUAGCUGCAUUCUGUGACGUUAACAACAGAAGAAGCACCGGCUAACUUCGUGCCAGCAGCCGCGGUAAUACGAGGGGUGCAAGCGUUAAUCGGAAUUACUGGGCGUAAAUCGUUCGUAGGCGGUCUAUUAAGCAAGAUGUGAAAGCCCAGGGCUCAACCUUGGAACUGCAUUUUGAACUGGUAGACUAGAGUACUGUAGAGGGUGGUGGAAUUUCCAGUGUAGCGGUGAAAUGCGUAGAGAUUGGAAGGAACAUCAGUGGCGAAGGCGGCCACCUGGACAGACACUGACGCUGAGGAACGAAAGCGUGGGGAGCGAACAGGAUUAGAUACCCUGGUAGUCCACGCCGUAAACGAUGUCAACUAGCCGUUUGUGGACUUGAUCCGUGAGUGGCGCAGCUAACGCACUAAGUUGACCGCCUGGGGAGUACGGCCGCAAGGUUA
rnacentral:rRNA from 1 species